rnacentral:rRNA from 1 species
UACGUAGGGUGCGAGCGUUUAAUCGGAAUUACUGGGCGUAAAGCGUGCGCAGGCGGUUCGCCAAGUCAGGUGUGAAAUCUCCGGGCUUAACCCGGAAAUGGCAUUGAAUACUAUUCGGCUAGAGAGUUGGAGGGGGACUGGAAUUCUCGGUGUAGCAGUGAAAUGCGUAGAUAUCGAGAGGAACACCAGUGGCGAAGGCGAGUCCCUGGACAACUUCUGACACUGAGGCACGAAAGCUAGGGAGCAAACAGG